rnacentral:rRNA from 1 species
UACAGAGGGUGCGAGCGUUAAUCGGAAUUACUGGGCGUAAAGCGCGCGUAGGCGGCUUUGCAAGUCGAUUGUGAAAUCCCCAGGCUUAACCUGGGAACUGCAUUCGAGACUGCAUAGCUAGAGUAUGGGAGAGGGAAGUGGAAUUUCAGGUGUAGCGGUGAAAUGCGUAGAUAUUUAGAAGGAACAUCAGUGGCGAAAGCGACUUCCUGGACCAAUACUGACGCUCAUGGUGCGAAAGCGUGGGAGCAAACAGG